AGUCCCUCAGUUUGCAAUUUUUAUUUUUCUUUGGGUCUUGUGAGAUCCCACGUGGAAGCCGUUAACGACCUCUCGAUAAUGAUCACGACAAAGGCAUUAUUCAAAUGAGCCAGUGCUUCCUGCUCCUGGCUGGCUCACGGCCGUCCAUCCAUCUCUCUAGCCCAAGCCCGAGCUCAGCGGUGUACAAAGGACAGGAGGAAGCCGCGAAUUCGUUUCCAGAUCAAACUCCCCGUCCAUAAACUCGCAUUGUGACCGUGGACAUCGAGCUAGGCACCAGACCCACCGUCCUGGAGGGUCUGAGGCUCAUUCAUGAAACUGGGAGCUCUCUGAGUUUUCAUAAAAGUUUUUUGGGUUGGUUUUUUUUUUUUUUUUUUUAUUUUU